GACGAACGCUGGCGGCGUGCUUAACACAUGCAAGUCGAACGGAAAGGCCCUGCUUGUGGGGUACUCUAGUGGCGAACGGGUGAGUAACACGCGGGUGAUCUGCCCUGCACUUCGGGUUACGCCUGGGAAACUGGGGCUAGUACCGGGUAGGAGCGAUUUUUAUGGGGAGGGUUGGAAAGUUUUUUCGGUUUAGGAGGAGCUCGCGGCCUGUCCGCCUUUUGGUGGGGUAAGGGCCUACCACGGCGGCGACGGGUAGCCGGCCCGAGCGGGUGGACGGCCCCCCUGGGCCUGGGGUCAGGCCCAGACCCCCACCGGGGGCAGCAGCUGGGAAAUUUGCACCAUGGGUGCGAGCCUGAUGCAGAGACGCCCCGUGGGGGAUGACGGCCUUCGGGUUGUCAACCCUUUUCCCUCGGGACGAAGCUCUUUGUGACGGUACCUAGAGAAGAAGCACCGGCUAACUACGUG
rnacentral:rRNA from 1 species